AGGAAACCGAGACACAGAGAUUAAGGUCACUUGACCAGGAAUUGGUGGGCUGGGACUGGAACCAUGGAUCUGUCUGUAUGAAGGGCCUGGGCUCUGUAACCACAUUCUCAACCGGGACUCAGGCUAUCCAAAAAUGAUACACCUCCCAUGUAGGAAGCUGAAGAAG
rnacentral:lncRNA from 1 species